AUAUCCGAAAGACACCGAAACAGACACGCCUCCUAAAUGUCUGCGAUGCAUUCGACUCUGAGAAUUCCUCGCCUGUAAAUGUAUGCAGGUGAGGAGUUUCAGGUAGAGAAA
rnacentral:ncRNA from 1 species